rnacentral:rRNA from 1 species
AACGAACGCUGGCGGCGUGCCUAACACAUGCAAGUCGAGCGAGAAAGCCCGCAAGGGUGAGUAAAGCGGCGCACGGGUGCGUAACACGUGGGUAAUCUGCCCUAGAGUCUGGAAUAACUCGCCGAAAGGCGUGCUAAUGCCGGAUGAGACCGCGGGAGCCUCGGCUCCUGCGGGAAAAGGUGGCCUCUGUCUACAAGCUAUCGCUCUAGGAUGAGCCCGCGGCCCAUCAGCUAGUUGGCGGGGUAAUGGCCCACCAAGGCAACGACGGGUAGCUGGUCUGAGAGGACGAUCAGCCACACUGGAACUGAGACACGGUCCAGACUCCUACGGGAGGCAGCAGUGGGGAAUCUUGCGCAAUGGGCGAAAGCCUGACGCAGCAACGCCGCGUGUGUGAUGAAGGUCUUCGGAUCGUAAAGCACUGUCGCGAGGGACGAAUAAGGGUCGGGUGAACAAUCCGGUCCGAUGACGGUACCUCGAGAGGAAGCACCGGCUAACUCUGUGCCAGCCGCCGCAGUAAGAC